rnacentral:tRNA from 1 species
GGGCUGGGGCUCAGCGGUAGAGCGCUUGCCUAGUGUGUGAGAGGCACUGGGUUCGAUCCUCAGCACCACA